rnacentral:rRNA from 1 species
GACGAACGCUGGCGGCGUGCCUAAUACAUGCAAGUAGAACGCACAGUUUAUACCGUAGCUUGCUACACCAUAGACUGUGAGUUGCGAACGGGUGAGUAACGCGUAGGUAACCUGCCUGGUAGCGGGGGAUAACUAUUGGAAACGAUAGCUAAUACCGCAUAAUAUUGAUUAUUGCAUGAUAAUUAAUUGAAAGGUGCAAUUGCACCACUACCAGAUGGACCUGCGUUGUAUUAGCUAGUAGGUGAGGUAACGGCUCACCUAGGCGACGAUACAUAGCCGACCUGAGAGGGUGAUCGGCCACACUGGGACUGAGACACGGCCCAGACUCCUACGGGAGGCAGCAGUAGGGAAUCUUCGGCAAUGGACGAAAGUCUGACCGAGCAACGCCGCGUGAGUGAAGAAGGUUUUCGGAUCGUAAAGCUCUGUUGUAAGAGAAGAACGGGUGUGAGAGUGGAAAGUUCACACUGUGACGGUAUCUUACCAGAAGGGGACGGCUAACUACGUG